UAAUUGUUUGUUAAAACUUUCGAAUAGUAUAGUGUUUUCUUCGGAAUUAAAAUUGAUUUAAUGCUUUUGUGUGUGGUUGUUUUAAAAUUUAUUACAAAAAAAUUAUGAAAAGUUCAAGCAAGAGACAUUUAAGGAGGCUUUUUAAAAAGAAAGAAUAUCUAGAUGUCUCUCCCAGAAAUUAGUCGCAAAACUCUUGGUUUAUAACCCAUAGCUAAAUAUCCCAAUAAGGCGGAGGCAUGCCAAAAUUGUUAGAAGCAAAUAAACAGUAAGUUGGAAUAAACAAAAAACAAGUAAAAAAGCAGUAAAAGCCGGGCCGAACUUUUUAUACCCUCCACCAAUAUGUGAUUACAACAGACAGACGGACGUCGAUAAAUCGAUUUACUAUUUUACGCUGAUCCAGAAUAUAUAUACUUCGUGGGGUCUAACAUGAGUAUUUCGGGGAGUUACAAACGGAAUGACAAACUUAAUAUACCCUCAAUAGUAUGGUGGAGGGUAUAAUAACACUCAAUAACCAUACAUAUGUUUUUUUAUUCUCUUUCAGAUACAAUACAAAGUCUUCAAGAAACCAUCACAACCCAAAACGAUGUGAUUAUGAAAACUCUUUCUGAACAUAAAGUGUUAAAAGGAAGAAUUUUAUAUCAGGAAGUGACUCAGAAUAAUUUGGCCUUUACAUUCCCUUUAGACUCUAUAAAUGGCUUAAGCGA